ensembl:lncRNA
UGCAAAUGGUGACAUUGUUGAUGUUUGAUUACCUCCUGAAGGGAUGAAGUGGAUGGGUCUCUCUCACUUUCUGGAAUCCAGAAGGUUGAACCAGGAUGCUGGGCGAGCAGUUUCCUGCCUCUCCUCCGUUGGGCGAGCAAGGCACACCUGAAGCCAAUCUCCUGUCAUUAUCCAUACCUGCCAUUCUCUUUAAAAGCCUUUUCAUCUCUCCACUCUUUGCCAAUCUGUUGCAAACCCCUCCCCCAUGGUACAGCCCGGCUCCUAAGACUCUAUUUGCAAGUUUGUUUCUUCAAACCUGUUAUCUGUCUGGAUCUAAUCAUUCGUCUUUCCCACAGAUCGUCUCUCGGAUGCCUGCUCCAGCCUGACUGUGUUUGUCUCUCACCUGCACCCUUUGGCUCUGUACAGAACUUGGACCUAAGUAAACUUGUUCAACUUCACUCUGUCCUCUAUCGUGUGUGUCUGCAUUUGGGGUCUUGAUUCGUGUCCGCAGUUCGUAACACCUGCAGUCUCUGCUAAGCCUGAACUGCGUUGAACUCCAGGAGGUUACUGCGGAAAGAAAAGAAUUAACAGCAAUUACUAUUCAAAAGUUGUUUUUGAAACAGGAAGAACAUAUUUGGUCAUAUUUCUUCAUGGAAAUAUAAGGAAGCACAGCUUGGAUUCCUUCCUCCUUGCCAGACCAGUCUCAUCCACAUAGUGGAAGAGGAUCUCCUCUUUUUUUUGUCAAAGUAGGAGAGAAGAAGGAACACCAUGUCUUUCAAAUCUUCUGAGCAGCCCUCUAACCUAGCCCUCUGUCAUCUGAGAAUUUUCAUUUUUGUAAUGCUCUCAGCUGCUUUAUCAGUGAAUGAUAUCCUGCUCCCACCACAUGAUCUUCUAUGACAUCUUGCAAUGACCAUGGAUAUUUGGCAACCAUUUUUUUGGCUACUGCUGUCGAGGCUUGUUUACUAGAAGAAGCAGACAUUCAUCAUCUCCGAAACGGUAAUACGGACCG